rnacentral:ncRNA from 1 species
AAAAAGAUGAUGAUAGGGACCAGUAAGCGUUUGGUCUUCCGCCCAGAGAGCCGCCGGGUGGUGCGAGGCGGCCGGAGAAGAACGCCGAACUCUCCCUGGAGUUGCCGACCGAAAUCUUAAAGUGAAGUGUUCGAAAAGGAGCACGAUAGACACGAGAAGUUCAAGGCGGCGAAGGUUUCGAGGAGCGGAGCGUACUUAAAGGUACGUGAGCACCGGAGAAACCGAGCCAACGCAGAAAUUCGAAGUGGAUCUCGAGCGGACUUUUCGAACAUCCUCUUAAGAGAGAGUAGGCCCGGACGGAAGCUUCCACCGUUAAAAGGAAGGGGAUAUCGGACCUGGGAUCAAGUCCCGUAUCCUUUACAGAGGUAACGGCUUUGUGCCGUUAAUUUGAGUGGUACCGCGGAGCAAACCCUUCGUCUCAAAG